AUUGAACGCUGGCGGCAGGCCUAACACAUGCAAGUCGAACGAGUGGCGGACGGGUGAGUAAUGUCUGGGAAACUGCCCGAUGGAGGGGGAUAACUACUGGAAACGGUAGCUAAUACCGCAUACCAUCGGAUGUGCCCAGAUGGGAUUAGCUAGUCGGUGGGGUGACGGCUCACCUAGGCUACGAUCCCUAGCUGGUCUGAGGGGAGUACCAGCAACACUGGAACUGAGACUCGGUCCAGACUCCUACGGGAGGCAGCAGUGGGGAAUAUUGAACAAUGGGCGCAAGCCUGAUGCAGCCAUGCCUCGUGUAUGAAGAAGGCCUUCGGGUUGUAAAGUACUUUCAGCGGGGAGGCGUUACCCGCAGAAGAAGCACCGGCUAACUCCGUGCCAGCAGCCGCGUAAUAC
rnacentral:rRNA from 1 species